GCUGAUUGGAGGCUGCUGGGCCUGGCCCUGGGUGCCUAUGGCCUGACAUGUUCCUCACAGCCAGACUUUGGAACUGAGUUUGGAGCAGCAGAGGCCCGACUGAAGCAGCUUGCUCAGCCUAAGAAGCCUUCAUGACAGAUCAGCCCAAGGUUGGACCCUCAGUCACUCUCUUCCCACCCUCCUCUGAGGAGAUCGCUGAGGCCAAAAAGGCCACACUGGUAUGUUUGAUGAGCGACUUCUACCCGGGUGUUGUGACGGUAACCUGGAAAGAAGAUGGCAAACCCAUCAAGGAGGGCGUGGAGACCACCAAGCCAACAAAACAGAGUAACAACAAGUAUGUGGCCAGCAGCUACCUGAGCUUGACGCCCGACAACUGGAAAUCUCACAACGCGUACACCUGCGAGGUCGAGCACGAAGUCAACACUGUGGUGAAGUCAGUGAGCCCUUCAGAGUGUUCUUAGGUCUUUGAGAAAACCCACUCAAGGACCUUCCUCACCCACACACCCUAUUUCCCAUAUUUCUACCUGAAACCCUGAUAUACCUUCCCCAGGUCAGCACAGACCAUGUGAGUUCCUCUCCCUGUAACUAUUGCUUCUCAAUAAAGAGCUAAUCAUUUAUUAUGUGA